rnacentral:rRNA from 1 species
CCUGGCGAUAGUAGCGAAGUGGAACUACCUGAUUCCAUCCCGAACUCAGAAGUAAAACACUUCAGCGCCUAAAAUACUUGGACCUCGCGGUCCUGGGAAGAUAGGUCAUUGCCAGGA